rnacentral:rRNA from 1 species
UACGAAGGGGGCUAGCGUUGCUCGGAAUCACUGGGCGUAAAGCGCACGUAGGCGGCUUUCUAAGUCAGGGGUGAAAUCCUGGAGCUCAACUCCAGAACUGCCCUUGAUACUGGAGAGCUUGAGUUCGGGAGAGGUGAGUGGAACUGCGAGUGUAGAGGUGAAAUUCGCAGAUAUUCGCAAGAACACCAGUGGCGAAGGCGGCUCACUGGCCCGAUACUGACGCUGAGGUGCGAAAGCGUGGGGAGCAAACAGG